rnacentral:misc_RNA from 1 species
UCCCUGUUACCAGGGCAGUCUGUCCAGAGAAAUCCAACUGGACAAAAGGGUUGCGCUCGUUGAAGGACUUAACCUAACAUCUCACGACACGAGCUGACGACGGCCAUGCAGCACCUGUCACUGGAUUCCCGAAGGCACAGUCUCCUUUCGGAGACCUUCCCAGGAUGUCAAACCUUGGUAAGGUUCUUCGCUUACCAUCGAAUUAAACAACACGCUCCACCGCUUGUGCGGGUCCCCGUCAAUUCCUUUAUGUUUUAAGCUUGCGCUCGUACUCCACAGGCGGGAUGCUUAACGCGUUAGCUUCGCUACUAUCAGGGUCGAUACUGAUAACAGCUAGCAUCCAUCGUUUACGGCGUGGACUAC